GCUGCCGCGAUCCUGGGUGAACGAACCUUUGUGAAAACACGUCUCCCUUCGUUUGGGCUGAGCCCCUGAGAGGGGAGGGCUGGGCUGUUUGGCAAGUGGCUGCAAUAUCCAGGGGAUGAAUUUGAAGAAGAGUCAACUCACCUCUGGGCUGGCCGGCCGCCUUCUGAAUCCUUGCGGUCAGCUCACUGCCUUGUUGGUUUAGACACCAAGGACCGUCAGGUCCCUUCCAGCGUCAGGCGGCUGUGUCCCCAGGACGUGACCUCCAGCGAGUCCUCAGCCGCAUAGAGAGGUGCCAACCCCGGAGCUGCUUGGAGGAUUCGGAGAAGUGCCCGGGGCGGAGGGCGGAACAGUGCCGGGCACACAGCACCCCCUCCGUGAACUGCACCUACUCCGAGCCCCGGGAAGUCCGAGACCGGAGCAGAGGGCCCAGCUUCUUCCUAGAAAGCUCUGAUAUUUUGAAGCCAAUAUGCACACCAGAUGACAAAAGACACAGCCCUGCGUUCAACACGUAUUUAUGGAGUGUCUGCCGACGGCCAGACCGUAACCGAGUACCCCGUAUUCUCCGGGCUUCCAGUUGGGAGACCCCAGGACGACAGGAUGGCCUGAGGCCUGGCAGAUGUUCAGGGACUUCCCGAUUCUAAGCUACAGACUCAAGACGCUGCUCACAGCCUGGCAAUGAGUGACUGGAUCUCUACGCCGACCCCCAGAAUUCCAGAAUCUCAUAAAUACAAACGACAGGGGAGGAGGAAUCCAGUGCUAAAACUUACUAGUACGAGCUUGAAAAGAGGCUGGAGAUGGGAUGCGGGUCAGGCUCAACGCUCCGGCUUCCUAACCGCGGGGCACAGCGUCCUCAGAAGUGUCCA